rnacentral:rRNA from 1 species
AGAAUCAACGCUGGCGGCGUGCCUAACACAUGCAAGUCGAACGAGAAAGUGGAGCAAUCCAUGAGUAAAGUGGCGCACGGGUGAGUAACACGUGACUAACCUACCCUCGAGUGGGGAAUAACUUCGGGAAACCGAGGCUAAUACCGCAUAAAACCUAAGGGUCAAAGGAGCAAUCCGUUUGAGGAGGGGGUCGCGGCAGAUUAGUUAGUUGGCGGGGUAAUGGCCCACCAAGACGAUGAUCUGUAUCCGGCCUGAGAGGGCGCACGGACACACUGGAACUGAAACACGGUCCAGACUCCUACGGGAGGCAGCAGUGGGAAUUUGCGCAAUGGGGGAAACCCUGACGCAGCAACGCCGCGUGGAGGAUGAAAUCCCUUGGGAUGUAAACUCCUUUCGAUCGGGAAGAUAAUGACGGUACCGGAAGAAGAAGCCCCGGCUAACUUCGCGCCAGCAGCCGC